AUUGAACGCUGGCGGCAGGCCUAACACAUGCAAGUCGAACGAGUGGCGGACGGGUGAGUAAUGUAUGGGAAACUGCCUGAUGGAGGGGGAUAACUACUGGAAACGGUAGCUAAUACCGCAUACCAUCGGAUGUUCCCAGCUGGGCUGAGCUAGUAGGUGGGGGAAAGGCUCACCAAGGCGACGAUCCCUAGCUGGUCUGCGAGGAUGACCAGCCAGACUGGAACUGAGCCACGGUCCAGACUCCGACGGGAGGCAGCAGGGGGGAAUAUUGCACAAUGGGCGCAAGCCUGAUGCAGCCAUGCCGCGUGUAUGAAGAAGGCCUUCGGGUUGUAAAGUACUUUCAGCGGGGAGGCGUUACCCGCAGAAGAAGCACCGGCUAACUCCGUGCCAGCAGCCGCGGUAAUUC
rnacentral:rRNA from 1 species